rnacentral:rRNA from 1 species
GCCGCCGACCAAACCACGUAGAACGUUCCCAAUCCCGUUCGAUCUCGGAAGAUAAGCUGCACCAGACCCGGUUACCCAGAUGACUGACCGCUUGGGAAUACCGGGUAUUAUGUCU